rnacentral:rRNA from 1 species
GUCGAACGCUGGCGGCGUGCUUAACACAUGCAAGUCGAACGGAAAGGCCCUGCUUUUGUGGGGUGCUCGAGUGGCGAACGGGUGAGUAACACGUGAGUAACCUGCCCUUGACUUUGGGAUAACUUCAGGAAACUGGGGCUAAUACCGGAUAGGAGCCCCUGCUGCAUGGUGGGGGUUGGAAAGUUUCGGCGGUUGGGGAUGGACUCGCGGCUUAUCAGCUUGUUGGUGGGGUAGUGGCUUACCAAGGCUUUGACGGGUAGCCGGCCUGAGAGGGUGACCGGCCACAUUGGGACUGAGAUACGGCCCAGACUCCUACGGGAGGCAGCAGUGGGGAAUAUUGCACAAUGGGCGGAAGCCUGAUGCAGCAACGCCGCGUGCGGGAUGACGGCCUUCGGGUUGUAAACCGCUUUCGCCUGUGACGAAGCGUGAGUGACGGUAAUGGGUAAAGAAGCACCGGCUAACUACGUG